rnacentral:rRNA from 1 species
GAUGAACGCUGGCUACAGGCUUAACACAUGCAAGUCGAGGGGAAACGACGGGGAAGCUUGCUUCCCCGGGCGUCGACCGGCGCACGGGUGAGUAACGCGUAUCCAACCUGCCUCUGACUGAGGGAUAACCCGUCGAAAGUCGGCCUAAUACCUCAUGGCAUCGUCUGCGGGCAUCCAACGACGAUUAAAGAUUUCAUCGGUCAGGGAUGGGGAUGCGUCUGAUUAGCUUGUUGGCGGGGUAACGGCCCACCAAGGCUACGAUCAGUAGGGGUUCUGAGAGGAAGGUCCCCCACAUUGGAACUGAGACACGGUCCAAACUGCUACGGGAGGCAGCAGUGAGGAAUAUUGGGCAAUGGGCGGGAGCCUGAACCAGCCAAGUAGCGUGCAGGAUGACGGCCCUAUGGGUUGUAAACUGCUUUUAUGCGGGGAUAAAGUGAGGGACGUGUCCUUCAUUGCAGGUACCGCAUGAAUAAGGACCGGCUAAUUCCGUG